GACGAACGCUGGCGGCGUGCUUAACACAUGCAAGUCGUACGGUAAGGCCCUUUCGGGGGUCCACGAGUGGCGCACGGGUGAGUAACACGUGAGUAACCUGCCCACAACUUUGGGAUAACGCUAGGAAACUGGUGCUAAUACUGGAUAUGUGCUCCUGCUGCAUGGUGGGGGUUGGAAAGCUCCGGCGGUUGUGGAUGGACUCGCGGCCUAUCAGCUUGUUGGGGGGGUAGUGGCCUACCAAGGCGGCGACGGGUAGCCGGCCUGAGAGGGUGACCGGCCACAUUGGGACUGAGAUACGGCCCAGACGCCUACGGGAGGCAGCAGUGGGGAAUAUUGCACAAUGGGCGCAAGCCUGAUGCAGCAACGCCGCGUGCGGGAUGACGGCCUUCGGGUUGUAAACCGCUUUCAGCAGGGACGAAGCUUUUUGUGACGGUACCUGCAGAAGAAGCACCGGCUAACUACGUG
rnacentral:rRNA from 1 species